rnacentral:tRNA from 1 species
GCUCUGUAGCUCAGUGGUUAGAGCAGGGGAUUCAUAAGCCCAAGGUCGUAAGUUCAAAUCUCACCAGAGCCA